rnacentral:tRNA from 1 species
GGGGGUAUAGCUCAGUAGUAGAGCAUGUGCUUACCAUAGGCAAGGUCCUGGGCUCCAUCCCCAAUACCUCCA